AAUCUUCCACAAUGGACGGAAGUCUGUUGGUGCAACGCCGCGUGAGCGACGAUGGUUUUCGGAUCGUAAAGCUCUGUUGUAAGGGAUGAACACGUACGGGAGUCACUGUCCGUACCUUGACGGUCCCUUUUCCGAAAGCCACGGCUACCUACGUGCGAGCAGCCGCGGUAAUACGUAGGUGGCAAGCGUUGUCCGGAAUUAUUGGGCGUAAAGCGCGCGCAGGCGGUCCUUUAAGUCUGAUGUGGAAGCCCACGGCUCAACCGUGGAGGGUCAUUGGAAACUGGAGGACUUGAGUACAGAAGAGGAAAGCGGAAUUCCACGUGUAGCGGUGAAAUGCGUAGAGAUGUGGAGGAACACCAGUGGCGAAGGCGGCUUUCUGGUCUGUAACUGACGCUGAGGCGCGAAAGCGUGGGGAGCAAACAG
rnacentral:rRNA from 1 species